UACGUAGGGGGCUAGCGUUGUCCGGAAUCAUUGGGCGUAAAGAGCGUGUAGGCGGUCCGGUAAGUCCGUUGUGAAAGUCAAGGGCUCAACCCUUGAAUGCCGGCGGAUACUGUCGGGCUAGAGUCCGGAAGAGGCGAGUGGAAUUCCCGGUGUAGCGGUGAAAUGCGCAGAUAUCGGGAGGAACGCCUAUGGCGAAGGCAGCUCGCUGGGACGGUACUGACGCUGAGACGCGAAAGCGUGGGGAGCAAACAGG
rnacentral:rRNA from 1 species